UACCAGAUCAUGCUGGAUCCAUCCCUGAAUAAAUCGCUUGAUAGCAAAUUGAGACGAACUUUUUUACACAUUUUGCUGGGCUGCCUAUGCUUAUAGGAACAAGAAAAUUGAAACUAAUUUUUUCUUAUGUCAACUCGAACGGUAUGCGCCAGCGUACAUAGUGACAACAACAGCAGAAAGCUGCGGAUUGAGAUGGAUUCAACUGCCUGAAAAAGGAAAACUUCGACGUUUCCAGCAAAGGCUGAUUUAGACUACACAACGUUUGCCUAAAACUGUCGCAUGCAACCUGCUCACAACUUGUAUUAGCCAUUUCCCAAAGUCCUGGAUCUAGUUGUGCGAAUCCCAGGUUGGAGGGACAAGAAAUAUGGCAGCACACAUUUAAAUUUUAAUGUUUACUGUAAAAAGGAGAUAUUUCAUUUCUGGUCGUGUAAAAAGUUGAUAUUUGAUAGUAGAUACUUCUACUCUUUCACAUAUUUGAUUCCUGCCACCAUAUAUUUUGUCCCUCCAAACGAUCCCAGAAUGCACUGUGAUCUCGAUUUUGGGAAAAGGCUAAUUGAGUUGUACUGUGUAAAUCGAGACUUACGACAACUUACGUGAGUUGUAUGCUUGAUUUACACAGUACAACUCUUGUUGUAAGCAUGUUGCAUGCGACAGUUUUAGGCAAAAGUUUUGUAGUUUAAAUCGGCCUUUAUACUAUCCUCCCGACAGAGGACCUUCGCUCGAAGCGUCGGAGAUUUUACUUGUAUUUUUCAGGUAUAGUUGAAUCCUUCUCAAUUCGUAGCUUUCUAUUUCUCUCUUGUUGGGGACCGUUCAUUAUUUAUAACUGGGGUUGGUACCGAAGGCGAAGAGAAGCGAAAAACACUGUAAAUUUUUUAUUUAUCCAAUCUUUAGGGUCGGCCAUGGGGUUUUGGGUAAACAGGAUCUAAUGGGUAUUUAAUUCGAGUAUACUGUAUAUUUACUUAAAUGUUAUGACUAAUUUUGGGUAUUAGGUAUACAGCUUCUGAUUGCUUUAGGUAUUUUGUAACAUUUUGACCGUAUUUUGAUCCAUAUUUAUCAGGUAUUUAGGAUACCACGACCCCCGCCCCCUGGCUGACCCCUAAUCUUAACAUUGGUCAAAAUAAUGUUUACCCAACCCAUGUGUUACUGUACUUCAUAAUAAUAAACACACAAGAUUAUGGUGACAGAAAUCAAGUUGCCUAAAUUUUAAAAGCUCACUCAAACUCACCGAGUGUGCCAAAGCAGGCACGUCCUUCAUCAAUCACGGAUGGUCUAUUUUGGUACAGAAUGUAUUGUACACAUUUUUCUUCAUAUUUUCCAAUGCAUGGUAAUUUUGGUUUUAUUUUAUAGCUGACAAACAGCCAUAUUUUUUUUUACCCAACCCAUGAGCUAGUCAGAAACUUGAUUACCCAACCCGUAUUUCUUUCGGUACCAACCCCGGGUAUAAAUAAUGAACGGUCCCUUAAUUUAGCACGAAAUACAAGACUGCUACAUAGGAUGAAAGUAUUUUCUUACUCUGAUCAAGUUGAUCACAAUCUGCUGCACGAUAUUGUUUAGUUAAACUCGCUGUAAAAGCCCAUUUCCACUCGAGAAAAAUUUUUCACGGACAGAAAAGAUUCCGAAAGUAUAAUAUUGUUAAAAGUUGAAAUUUUUGUGUUGGAAAAUUUGUGUUGGUCAAUCACAUUUUACAAAAUUUUGUUUCUGCGGAAUAUUUUCCUGAGUGGAAAUGGGCCUUAAAGGGUGGAAUACAAAUUGCACAAGGGAAAGGACAACUUAUUUGACAGAACGAACUGUAAUGUUAUUAAUAAGCGCAUCAUUUGUAAAAAUCUCGAAGUAGUUACCGCAUUAUUUGCUGCGCAGUAAUGUACUGGUGUUCUUGUAUGAACAGUGACUAUUAACUGACUGCUGGCUCAGAGUUAUGAGACAUGCAAAAGGUGUUGUCUUAAAUGCAACUGUAAUAGCACCAAUGAACUGGAAUUUAAUUAAUAAAACUCAGUUUCACAUCUUGUUA